rnacentral:rRNA from 1 species
AAUCAACGCUGGCGGCGUGCCUAACACACGCAAGUCGAACGGGAAGGAGGGCUUCGGCUCUCCGGAGAGUGGCGCACGGGUGAGUAACACGUGGGUAAUCUGCCUUUGGGUGGGGAAUAACGAUCCGAAAGGGUCGCUAAUACCGCAUAACGCAGCGGCACCGCAUGGUGACAGUUGUUAAAGGGGGGGAUCGAAAGACCUCUCGCCUGAAGAGGAGCCCGCGCCCGAUUAGCUUGUUGGUGAGGUAAUGGCUCACCAAGGCUUCGAUCGGUAGCCGGCCUGAGAGGGCGGUCGGCCACACUGGCACUGAGACACGGGCCAGACUCCUACGGGAGGCAGCAGUGGGGGAAUUUUGGGCAAUGGGCGAAAGCCUGACCCAGCAACGCCGCGUGAAGGACGAAAUCCCUCUGGGAUGUAAACUUCGAAAGUCAGGAAAGAAAUCGAGUGGGGUAAUAUCCCGCUUGGAUGACGGUACCUGACGUAAGCCCCGGCUAACUACGUGCCAGCAGCCGCGGU